AUUGAACGCUGGCGGAAUGCUUUACACAUGCAAGUCGAACGGCAGCACGGACUUCGGUCUGGUGGCGAGUGGCGAACGGGUGAGUAAUGUAUCGGAACGUGCCCAGUCGUGGGGGAUAACGUAGUGAAAAUUACGCUAAUACCGCAUACGAUCUAUGGAUGAAAGCGGGGGAUCGCAAGACCUCGCGCGAUUGGAGCGGCCGAUAUCAGAUUAGGGAGUUGGUGGGGUAAAGGCCCACCAAGCCCACGAUCUGUAGCUGGUCCGAGAGGACGACCAGCCACACUGGAACUGAGACACGGUCCAGACUCCUACGGGAGGCAGCAGUGGGGAAUUUUGGACAAUGGGCGAAAGCCUGAUCCAGCCAUUCCGCGUGCAGGAUGAAGACCCUCGGGUUGUAAACUGCUUUUGUACAGAACGAAAAGGUUUCUACUAAUACUAGGAGCUCAUGGCGGUACUGUAAGAAUAAGCACCGGCUAACUACGUGCCAGCCGCCGCCGUAA
rnacentral:rRNA from 1 species